CUAAUACAUGCAAGUCGAACGAACUCUGGUAUUGAUUGGUGCUUGCAUCAUGAUUUACAUUUGAGUGAGUGGCGAACUGGUGAGUAACACGUGGGAAACCUGCCCAGAAGCGGGGGAUAACACCUGGAAACAGAUGCUAAUACCGCAUAACAACUUGGACCGCAUGGUCCGAGUUUGAAAGAUGGCUUCGGCUAUCACUUUUGGAUGGUCCCGCGGCGUAUUAGCUAGAUGGUGGGGUAACGGCUCACCAUGGCAAUGAUACGUAGCCGACCUGAGAGGGUAAUCGGCCACAUUGGGACUGAGACACGGCCCAAACUCCUACGGGAGGCAGCAGUAGGGAAUCUUCCACAAUGGACGAAAGUCUGAUGGAGCAACGCCGCGUGAGUGAAGAAGGGUUUCGGCUCGUAAAACUCUGUUGUUAAAGAAGAACAUAUCUGAGAGUAACUGUUCAGGUAUUGACGGUAUUUAACCAGAAAGCCACGGCUAACUACGUGCCAGCAGCCGCGGUAAUACGUAGGUGGCAAGCGUUGUCCGGAUUUAUUGGGCGUAAAGCGAGCGCAGGCGGUUUUUUAAGUCUGAUGUGAAAGCCUUCGGCUCAACCGAAGAAGUGCAUCGGAAACUGGGAAACUUGAGUGCAGAAGAGGACAGUGGAACUCCAUGUGUAGCGGUGAAAUGCGUAGAUAUAUGGAAGAACACCAGUGGCGAAGGCGGCUGUCUGGUCUGUAACUGACGCUGAGGCUCGAAAGUUUGGGUAGCAAACA
rnacentral:rRNA from 2 species